GAAAGAAUAUCGGAGACGGAUGGGCAUGCGGCGCAUUAGCUAGUUGGCGGGGUAACGGCCCACCAAGGCGACGAUGCGUAGGGGUUCUGAGAGGAAGGUCCCCCACACUGGUACUGAGACACGGACCAGACUCCUACGGGAGGCAGCAGUGAGGAAUAUUGGUCAAUGGGCGAGAGCCUGAACCAGCCAAGUCGCGUGAGGGAGUACUGCCCUAUGGGUUGUAAACCUCUUUUGUCGGGGAGCAAAAGCCGGACGUGUCCGGCUGUGAGAGUACCCGAAGAAAAAGCAUCGGCUAACUCCGUGCCAGCAGCCGCGGUAAUACGGAGGAUGCGAGCGUUAUCCGGAUUUAUUGGGUUUAAAGGGUGCGCAGGCGGAUUUUUAAGUCAGCGGUCAAAUCGUGGGGCUCAACCCCAUCCAGCCGUUGAAACUGGGGAUCUAGAGUGUGCGAGAGGUAUGCGGAAUGCGUGGUGUAGCGGUGAAAUGCAUAGAUAUCACGCAGAACCCCGAUUGCGAAGGCAGCAUACCGGUGCACAACUGACGCUCAGGCACGAAAGCGUGGGUAUCGAACAGGAUUAGAUACCCUGGUAGUCCACGCAGU
rnacentral:rRNA from 1 species